rnacentral:rRNA from 1 species
UACGGAGGAUGCAAGCGUUAUCCGGAAUUAUUGGGCGUAAAGCGUCCGCAGGUGGUUAUCCAAGUCUGCUGUUAAAGCGCGAGGCUUAACUUCGUACAGGCAGUGGAAACUGGGUGACUGGAGUAUGGUAGGGGUAGCGGGAAUUCCCAGUGUAGCGGUGAAAUGCGUAGAUAUUGGGAAGAACAUCGGUGGCGAAAGCGCUCUGCUGGACUGCAACUGACACUCAGGGACGAAAGCUAGGGGAGCGAAUGGG